UGGGGAAUAUUGGACAAUGGGCGAAAGCCUGAUCCAGCGACGCCGCGUGGGUGAAGAAGGCCUGCGGGUUGUAAAGCCCUUUCGGUUGGGAAGAAAAGUAUCGGCUUAACACGUCGGUACCUUGACGUAACCAACAAAAGAAGCACCGGCUAACUCUGUGCCAGCAGCCGCGGUAAUACAGAGGGUGCGAGCGUUAAUCGGAAUUACUGGGCGUAAAGCGCGCGUAGGCGGCUUGAUAAGUCGAGUGUGAAAUCCCCGGGCUUAACCUGGGACCUGCAUUCGAAACUGUCUUGCUAGAGUAUGGGAGAGGGAAGUGGAAUUUCAGGUGUAGCGGUGAAAUGCGUAGAUAUCUGAAGGAACAUCAGUGGCGAAAGCGACUUCCUGGACCAAUACUGACGCUCAGGUGCGAAAGCGUGGGGAGCAAACAG
rnacentral:rRNA from 1 species